rnacentral:ribozyme from 1 species
GGGGUGCGUAAUUGACUUACCUCCACGUGGUGCAUCCUGGGCAACGUAUACUCAUACGACAGAAAAGUCUAU